rnacentral:rRNA from 1 species
UACGGGGGGGGCAAGCGUUGUUCGGAAUUACUGGGCGUAAAGGGCUUGUAGGCGGCCAACUAAGUCGGACGUGAAAUCCCCAGGCUCAACCUGGGAACUGCGUCCGAUACUGGAUGGCUUGAAUUCGGGAGAGGGAUGCAGAAUUCCAGGUGUAGCGGUGAAAUGCGUAGAUAUCUGGAGGAAUACCGGUGGCGAAGGCGGCAUCCUGGACCGACAUUGACGCUGAGGAGCGAAAGCUAGGGGAGCAAACGGG